GCAGGGCUAACAGGACCCGGACAGAAAGACCGAGAUCUCUACCACUAUUGUCCCCGCUGCACCAGACACCUCUAGCUCAGAUUGAGUUCCAGCAACCAGACUUAAGACACGUCACGUCGAGAAAAUGGACUCGGAGAAGACAUUCAAGGUGUCUAAGGUGGCAGAUACAGAGCCUGGACUGAAUGCUGGGCUCCUGUCUCCACCUGCCUGUCUCUCCCUAGUGCCAGGCGGCCUCUCAGUGAUGACCUAUGAAGGUGGCUGGGCAGCAAGGAAAAGGGUCUAGCUGGGCUGCUGACUACUGGCUUUGGUUGUUUUUCAGGAAAUAUCUCCAGAUCCACUCAACCAGCUUGAAACUGACUUUUCGAGAAUGGACAUGCACAAAAGAUACCAAUUAGUCUGGUCAAUAACCUUUUGAUGUCACAAGCUCAAAAUUCCUCUUGCAGAACAACGCGGGACAUGAAGAGGCAUGGCCAUCUAUGCUUGAAAAAAGGUCCCUUAAGCUUCCCUUUCUCUCCAUCUAACCGACAGGCAGCCUCUUCUCUCUCCCUUUCUAUAAAUUCCCCCACUGCCAACUGGUCAGAGAAGAAGAUUUGAGCUUUGCUUCUGUCCUUUUUGCUAGUCAACCUUGCAAUAAAGCUUUU